CGAAGGCUCCAGAGGAAGCCACGGCUAACUCUGUGCCAGCAGCCGCGGUAAUACAGAGGUGGCAAGCGUUGUUCGGAAUUAUUGGGCGUAAAGGGCACGUAGGCGGCCCUGCCAGUCAGUUGUGAAAGCCUUCCGCUUAACGGAAGAACGGCAGCUGAUACUACAGGGCUAGAGUACGGGGGGGGAGAGUGGAACUUCUGGUGGAGCGGUGAAAUGCGUAGAUAUCAGAAGGAACGCCGGCGGCGAAAGCGACUCUCUGGACCGAAACUGACGCUGAGUGUGCGAAAGCUAGGGGAGCAAACGGGAUUAGAUACCCCGGUAGUCCUAGCCGUAAA
rnacentral:rRNA from 1 species